rnacentral:rRNA from 1 species
UACGGAGGGUGCUAGCGUUGUUCGGAAUCACUGGGCGUAAAGCGCGUGUAGGCGGUCCGUUAAGUCGGGGGUGAAAGCCCAGGGCUCAACCCUGGAAUAGCCUUCGAUACUGGAUGUCUUGAGUUCGGGAGAGGGUAGUGGAAUUCCCGGUGUAGUGGUGAAAUGCGUAGAUAUCGGGAGGAACACCAGUGGCGAAGGCGACUACCUGGCCUGUUCUUGACGCUGAGGCGCGAAAGCUAGGGGAGCAAACGGG